rnacentral:rRNA from 1 species
UACGGAGGGAGCUAGCGUUAUUCGGAAUUACUGGGCGUAAAGCGCACGUAGGCGGCUUUGUAAGUAAGAGGUGAAAGCCUGGUGCUCAACACCAGAACUGCCUUUUAGACUGCAUCGCUUGAAUCCAGGAGAGGUGAGUGGAAUUCCGAGUGUAGAGGUGAAAUGCGUAAAUAUUCGGAAGAACACCAGUGGCGAAGGCGGCUCACUGGACUGGUAUUGACGCUGAGGUGCGAAAGCGUGGGGAGCAAACAGG